rnacentral:rRNA from 1 species
AUGGUUACAUGUGAUUUUGAUCUGAAUUUCACAUUUACUUCAUGUGGGUGGGAAGGGUCCGCAUCAGAUGCAGGAGUUCUUCAUUCUGCUAUUAGCAAGGGGUUUCAUGUGCCAGAUGGAAAAUUUUAUCUCGUAGAUGGUGGAUAUGCAAACACACCUUCUUUUCUUGCACCAUAUCGAGGAGUUCGGUAUCACCUGAGUGAAUUUAGGAGGCGGCGCUCAUCUAAUAUGGGCUAUGCCGACCAUAGGGAGUUAUUCAACCAUACCCAUGCAAUCCUCCGGAACCACAUCGAAAGGAGCAUUGGUGUUCUGAAAAAACGUUUCCCUAUCUUGAAAGUGGGCAAUCACUACCCAAUAGAGUCACAAAUCAAGAUUCCGGCGGCAUGUGCUGUAUUCCAUAAAAUCAUUAGAGCUCAAAGUGGUGAUGAGGCAUGGUUGGAUAACCAACCACCGUUAAUUCCACCAGAAACAUAUGUUGAUGUUCUAGAGGGAGAUGAUGUCAACCAACAUCAUCACAAUGAGGCAAACGAUGGAAACACUCUUAGAGAUUAG